rnacentral:rRNA from 1 species
AUUGAACGCUGGCGGCAUGCUUUACACAUGCAAGUCGAACGGCAGCGCGGGCUUCGGCCUGGCGGCGAGUGGCGAACGGGUGAGUAAUACAUCGGAACGUGCCCAGUAGUGGGGGAUAGCUCGGCGAAAGCCGGAUUAAUACCGCAUACGACCUGAGGGUGAAAGCGGGGGAUCUUCGGACCUCGCGCUAUUGGAGCGGCCGAUGGCAGAUUAGCUAGUUGGUGGGGUAAAGGCCUACCAAGGCGACGAUCUGUAGCUGGUCUGAGAGGACGACCAGCCACACUGGGACUGAGACACGGCCCAGACUCCUACGGGAGGCAGCAGUGGGGAAUUUUGGACAAUGGGCGAAAGCCUGAUCCAGCAAUGCCGCGUGUGUGAUGAAGGCCUUCGGGUUGUAAAGCACUUUUGGCGGGAACGAAAAGGACUGUGCCGAUACCACGGUUCGAUGACGGUACCCGCAGAAUAAGCACCGGCUAACUACGUG